rnacentral:rRNA from 1 species
GAUGAACGCUGGCGGCGUGCCUAAUACAUGCAAGUCGAGCGAACAGACGAGGAGCUUGCUCCUUUGACGUUAGCGGCGGACGGGUGAGUAACACGUGUAUAACCUACCUAUAAGACUGGGAUAACUUCGGGAAACCGGAUCUAAUACCGUAUAACAUGUUGAACCGCAUGGUUCAACAGUGAAAGACGGUCUUUCUGUCACUUAUCGCUGGAUCCCCGCCGCAUUAGCUGGUUGGUGAGGUAACGGGUUAUGAAGGCAACGAUGCGUAGCCGACGGGAGAGGGUGAUCGGCCACCCUGGAACGGGGACACGGUCCAGACGACUGAGGGAGGCAGCAGUAGGGUAUCGGACGCAGUGGGCGAAAGCCUGACGGAGCAACGCCGCGUGAGAGAAGACGGUCUUCGGAGCGUAAAGCUCUGUUAUUAGGGAAGAACAAAUGUGUAAGUAACUAUGCACGUCUUGACGGUACCUAAUAAGAAAGCCACGGCUAACUACGUG